rnacentral:rRNA from 1 species
AACGAACGCUGGCGGCAGGCCUAACACAUGCAAGUCGAGCGGACCUUUCGGGGUCAGCGGCGGACGGGUGAGUAACGCGUGGGAAUAUGCCCUUCACUACGGAAUAGUCCUGGGAAACUGGGGGUAAUACCGUAUACGCCCUUUGGGGGAAAGAUUUAUCGGGGAAGGAUUAGCCCGCGUUGGAUUAGGUAGUUGGUGGGGUAAUGGCCUACCAAGCCGACGAUCCAUAGCUGGUUUGAGAGGAUGAUCAGCCACACUGGGACUGAGACACGGCCCAGACUCCUACGGGAGGCAGCAGUGGGGAAUCUUAGACAAUGGGGGCAACCCUGAUCUAGCCAUGCCGCGUGAGUGAUGAAGGCCUUAGGGUUGUAAAGCUCUUUCAGCUGGGAAGAUAAUGACGGUACCAGCAGAAGAAGCCCCGGCUAACUCCGUG